GCGGCACGCCUAACAAUGCAAGUCGAACGAAGUAGCAAUACUUAGUGGCAGACGGGUGAGUAACAUGUAGGUAUCUGCCCUUUGGCCUGGAAUAACACGAGGAAACUUGUGCUAAUACCGGAUAAGUCUUUACGGAGAAAGCUUUAUGCACCAUUGGAUGAGCCUGCACUUGAUUAGUUUGUUGGUAGGGUAAUGGCCUACCAAGACUGUGAUCAAUAGCUGAUUUGAGAGGAUGAUCAGCCACAUUGGGACUGAGACACGGCCCAAACUCCUACGGGAGGCAGCAGUGGGGAAUCUUGCACAAUGGAGGAAACUCUGAUGCAGCGAUGCCGCGUGAGUGAAGAAGGCCCUUGGGUUGUAAAGCUCUUUCGUCGGGGAAGAAAAUGACUGUACCCGAAUAAGAAGGUCCG
rnacentral:rRNA from 1 species